rnacentral:rRNA from 1 species
AGCGAACGCUGGCGGCAGGCUUAACGCAUGCAAGUCGAACGGGCAUAGCAAUAUGUCAGUGGCAGACGGGUGAGUAACGCGGGGGAACGUACCUUUUGGUUCGGAACAACACAGGGAAACUUGUGCUAAUACCGGCUAAGCCCUUACGGGGAAAGAUUUAUCGCCGAAAGAUCGGCCCGAGCCUGAUUAGCUAGUUGGUAGGGUAACGGCCUACCAAGGCGACGAUCAGUAGCUGGUCUGAGAGGAUGAUCAGCCACAUUGGGACUGGGACACUGCCCAAACUCCUACAGGAGGCAGCAGUGGGGAAUAUUGGACAAUGGGCGAAAGCCUGAUCCAGCCAUGCCGCGUGAGUGAUGAAGGCCCUAGGGUUGGAAAGCACUUUUGUGCGGGAAGAUAAUGACGGUACCGCAAGAAUAAGCCCCGGCUAACUUCGUG